GGCCGGCAGCGAGCGCGGGGUUCGGCCGCUCCAAGUUCGGCGGUGCCGUGGCUCGGAGGCGCUUUGGAGGCGUUGAUGGCAUCGCUGGGUUCGGUUUGCAGCGGGUGUCCGCUAAGGGAUAUGGUGUUCUUCCUGAGCGGCACGGUUCUCGGUGCCGGUAGAGAUGAUAAAGGGUACUCACAAAAUAUGUCUCCCUUAGUGUCCCACAGAAACAUUCUGGGUGCAAUCUGAAUUAAGGUAUGUGUUUUCAAAUAAGUAAUCAGUUUAGAUAUUUGCCUGUGUACCUUUUCCUGUAAUUCAGAGCUUGUGUUCUGUGGGUUUUAUGAUAAACCUGUAAAACAUGUAAGAAUGGUUUUGCAAGUCUGAAUCGUUGAAGGCAGCAAUAAGUGGAUUUAAAGCCUGUUCUUGAGCAGACAAAGGGGAAAAGUGUGACUCUGAUGCUGAACUUGUCAUUUUUCAUUUGACUUGCCUUUAAUUAUUGAAGAAGAGAGAGAACUAGGAAAAGAAAUAGAAUUGAUUAUUGAGCACUCCUAAAAAGCUCACCAUGAUUCUGUGUAGAGCCAAAGUGAAGGAUGAUGGAACAGAGCUCUGUGCAUUAGAAGGAAAUAAACCUGAUGUCCACACAGAGUCUUACUAAUUUCUGUUUUUAAAAUGCAAAAUAAGUUUAGGAAGUGUUGGAAGUUAGUAUUUUGGGAAAGAAAUGGCAGUUCCACAAAACAUUCCAUUCCAUUUAAGAGAGGCCCUUGGACUGAUUCAUGUUGUAACUGCUGUCACUGCAAUCAGUUGGUGGUUCAGCCUUGAAAUGUGCACUUGGCCUUCUAUAAAGCACUGUUUUGUUUGCCUUUCAGUGCUAUGAGUCUUGAUAAAUUGGAGAAGUGCCCAAGAGAAAUUCAUCAUCCUGAGAUACAAAAGGUAGGAAGUGACUUUUUCUGGUUUGGUUCUUUUUCUUUAUUGUUUUCUGGAAAUAGAAGUAAUUAAGUAUAGAUACUACUGGUUUGUUUCUUCCAGUAGCUGAUAAUACUAAUACCAAUAAUAAUAAUAAUAAUAAUAGUAAAGUAAUACUACUUCAACUGUCUUUAUUUAUCCAUUGAACUGGCCAUUUUAAAUCUAAACUUCUAAACACAAAUCAAACCAUCAUCCUUGUAGAAUCUUUAAUAGGAGUGGGCUAAAGAUCCUGGUUUUGUUGACAGGAUUUAUUGGUUCAUGAACAGCAAGAGGUAAGUACAAGCCUAACUACCCUCUAGCUCACAGACCUGCCCGGUGAAUAGAGCUUUGUUUUUUUGAUGGGCUUGUGAUGACUUUGAGAUCAAUUGCUCAUUCAUUACAGUAAAAAAAAAAAAAUUGUUUUGAACAUGACAGCAAAAAUAACUUUAAGCACAACUUAAUAAUAAUAAUAGAUCACCAAUUUUAGUUAAUAAUUUUAUGCUAUACUCUUGGGUGAGGGAAGACUCGGACACUCAAUAUGAGAUCAGCAAGCUAUGUUUAUUGCAGAGAGUAUCAGACACUUAUACAGCACAUAAUAAGCUUAUGAAUAUUCUGUAAGCCAAGCGAUCUAUUGGUUAAACUAUACCAUCAACUCUUCCUCAUUCCUUUGGGCCUACAUUCCCUAUUUCCCACGUCUCUCUGUCUACUUGUUAUCCUACCCAGCUAGGCCCAGGCACACGCUAUCUUGCAGGUGCAAAACUCAAAAAUACCUGUGUUCGGUACUUUCCCAGCUCCUGGUCGGCUAACGAGCGAAUGUCUGCGUGACCUCUGUCAUGGAGCCAUUUCUCCACACUAUACUAUCAAAGUUUAAAGGUAAAUUAUUAUAUAUUAGGAGAUGGUGUAAAGUGUAUGUUGUAAUGUGUAGGAUAUAUACAAAGAUACGUACUUGAAAGUCCGUAGAGGAAACAAAUUUUUACGCCUUCUGUUUGACUGUUUGUCAUAUAUUUGGUUUUAUUUCCCAGGGAUCAGUGAAUUUUAACUCUGGAGUCCUCUAUGCUAAGGAUGCUCAGCUUAGAGAUGAUGAAAUGUUCAGUAAUGGUGAGUUUUUCACCUUCUCCUUCAUUGUUUUGCUCAUCUGAAUAAAAAAAAAAAAAAAGGCAAGAUUAAAGAAAAAGCAAUAGUUUUAUUAUUUUUACCCUGUUAUGUCUGUUUCCUCAGUAUUUGCUGCAGCUCUGCUUACCCAAGGUUUGGGUAAAACAAGCUUUGGGUUCCCUCUGUCUCACUGGGAGUUGCCCAAUUCAGUUGCAUCUGGUGAAAUUCACCCUGAGACCUUACAGAACCAGCUCCAACUACGUGAGAGCCAUUUGCAGUUCUCUCCAGACACCUGGAGAAUGGGCGACAUUUCUGAGAAUCCGGCGAGCGUGCUUCUAUCAAAACUCAGUCUGUGAAAUUCCUGGGGAAAACCCUUCUGUGUCCUGAAGGGUUCAAACUCUGGUGAGGAUCCAGUUAUCAGGUGCUCACCUGGAUGGUUCCAGCUCUUAAAGUGAACACUUGUACUCUUGCCCUGUAGUUUACAUCUAUUGUAUUUUUGUUAUUUUGCAGGAUUUUUUGUCUUUGCAAAAUAUUGUGCAUUUCACUCUUUGGAACCUCUCAGAUGGUUCUUUGGUGCAGCACCACCCCAGGGGACACUUGCCUGCUGUCCUGAAGGGGUUGGUGGCUAGAAUUGUGAAUCCUGGAGAGUUUAUAAGUCUUCUGUCCCCAGGGAGGUGUCGUGCUUUGUUUACUUUUGUUCUGUUGGUUAGGCGCUGCUUCUCGUUGCAAGUACGAAUUUCAAACUGCCCUGUUCUUUUUUUAACUGUUUUCCUGGUUCUCUCCCUACGGCAGGGAAAGACUCUCGUAUCCUUGUCGUCGGGCUCGGUGCUGUCCAAGAAGAUACAGAGACUAAAAAAAUCAUAAGAAGCAAAAUAUGACUGCAGGGAAAAGAAGCUGGAGAGAACAGAAGACUCAUCACGGCGGGACAGCGUGAAGACUGAAAGUGUAAGAAGAUGUGGAGGGAAACAGAGAAUCUGACAGGAGCAUCGGAGGGACGAGUGCACGAAUUUUGCUUUUUGCUUGGAUGUAAACUCAGGAGUUGAGAGGAAUUUGGGAGUGAGAAGGGACAUCUCAGAAGGAGAAGAAGAAAAAGAGGUUGUUGUUGUUGUUACAGUCCUGGCAAAAUCUUUUGUUCUAGCUAAUAAAAGAAGUUAGUUUAAAAAACAAAAAGGAAAAAAUGUAGUGUUUUUUUUUUCCUUCACUAUGAUAUUCAUUGGUGGUAUAUGGUGUGUUGUUUCAUUUCUUGGUAUUAUUAACUCUGUGUAAAUUGUUUUUUGAGUGAAGCUGACUUUCUGGAUGGGUUGGUUUGUAUUUGAGGCAGGAUUAAUUUCAGUAGGGUUCUUUCAUAGAUUUCUGAUGGGUAUUACUGGGAUUUUGGUUUUGUUUACUGUAUGUAUGAACCUAGAGCUUUGGUAGGGCCAGCUGGGCUGCUGGAGUUUUGGGUGUGAAUUUAUUAGAUGGCUUUUGUUAGAUGCAGUUUUUAAUUUUUGAAAUGUUUUUCAAUGUAGUGGUUUUAAGGUGGUUUUUAAGAAUUCAUUGUAUUGCUUUAUCUUGUUUGUAGUUGGUGUAUGAUAAGGGAUGUGGUGUGAGUUCUUGAACAUUAUGGUUUUGGUGUUCCUAAGUUCUGAUUUCUUUGUGGUUCAAUAGCUUUUUUUAUUUUUAUUUUUUGGGACAGGGGCAUUUAUAUGGUGGGUUUUUAUAGGCAAUAUGUUUUUUAAUUUAGGUAGUGAUAUUUUUUAAUAUUUUAAUAGUUUAGGUUUUUUAUUUUCAUGGUUUUAAUUAUUUUUUUUAAUUUUUUGAAAUAACUUUUAUAGAUUACAUGUUAUUAUUUGUGCAUUAACAUAAAGGUAGAGCUUUGGGGACUUUUUUUAGUAAUGUUUAGGGUCAGUUGUGCAGUUUUGAGUCUAGUGCGUUGGUUUGAUUUAAUUUUUAAUGGGUGUUUGUUUUUAUUAGCAGUUGUGUCAUUUUCAAGGUGUGUUUGAGUUUUUUGGGGUUUUUGAGAUACUGGUUUAGGAGGAAGUUUAUGAUGAGCAUGUGCGGAGGUUUUGGGCUACUUUAUAGUGGGAUUUAAAAUUUAUUUACAGUUAGGUUUAUUUGAGUUUUUAUUAGGGUUCAGUGACGUUGUGGGAUAUUUGUUCCGUUAGUAACAGAAAUAGGUUUUGUUUUGCUGUGCUGCGAUGGGAUGGGCGUGUGCUGCGUGCCGGUGCUGACAAAGGUACAGUAUUGUUGUGGCUCUGGUGCGUCGGGUUAAUGAACUGACAUGGUUUAAUGUAGAGAUGAAAAUAGAAAUAAAUAUACAUUUAAAAAUAAAUAUAAAAUUAGAGUGGUAAACAUAAAUAUAGAUAACAGAUACAUACAUAAAACUAUAAUAUAUGGUAUAUAAUUGUAACAUGUUAUCAUAUAGAUAAAUGAUAGUCUAUUUUAUAUAUAUAUACACAAAGAUAUAUAAAUAUAGAUUGUAAAUAUAAAAAUAUUUAAAUAGAGUUAAAGUAAAUUGGGCAGUUUUAUUAGGGUAUAGGCUGGGGUUUUUAAAUGAUAGCAAUAAAAUAUAAAUUCAGAUAUACAAAUAUAUAUAGAAAUACAAAUAUCUAUACAUAUUUAAUUUAAACAAAUAUAAGUAAGAAAAUAUGUAUAAUACAGAAAAUAUAUUUCUAUGAUUAUAUUAGAAGGUAUUCCCUCUAAUAUAGAUAAAAUCUAUGCAUAAAAUAAAUAAAAAUAUCCAUAUAAAUAUCAUUAUAAUUUUGAAAAAUAAAUUUACUUCGUAAAUUUUAAAUCUGGUUCAAAUAAAGGGGUGUCCUUGGUUUUUAUUUGGUUAGAGGCAGGAGUUUUAUUUUAAAUAAUAUAAGCAAUAUAGAAAUGUGGAUCUUAAGAUAGAAAUAUAUAAUAAAUAUAUAAAGAGAAAUUGCUAAACUAUGAAUAUAAAUUUAAAUAUAAAUAUAUGUAAGUAAUAUGAGGAGUUGUGGCAUGGAAUAUAAAUAACAUUAAAUGGCAAUAUAAAUUAUAAAUGGGAAUAUAAAUAUAAAAAUAUGUAAAUAUCGUUUAAAAGAAAUGGAAUGUUUUGGCUUUUAUUUAAGUAGAGGCAGGGUUUUUAAUUUGAAUAUUAUACGUGUUCCAGAAGUAAAAAUCUUGACGCAGAAAUAUUUAAUCCAUAUAAAAAUAUGAAUAAAAAAAUAUAAAAAAUAUAAAUACCUACUCGCAUCGGAUGUAAUAUAGAAUAUAAAUUUAUUUAUAAAUUGACAUUGGUAAAGAUAAAUAUAUAAGUAAGCAAUAUACAUUAAUAUACAUUAUAAAUACAAAUAUGAAUAUAACAAUUGAACAUUAGGAUAAAAUCUAUUUAAAUAUUUUUUAAAAGAAAGGGUUCGGUUUUUUUUUAUUGUUGUGUUAGAGGCAGGGUUUUUAUUUUAAAUAGUAUGAAUGUAGAUAUUGUUAUAUAUUUCUAAAUAUUGAGAUAUACAAUCAAGAUAUAAAUAUAUAUAUAAACACAAAAUAUAAAUAAAUACAAAUAAUAGGAAGUGAUGUAAUGAAGAAUACAAAUAACAGUAUACAUAAGUAUACAUUUUAAAUGUAAAUGUGAAUAUGAACCUGAAAAAUAGAAUUUUAUAAAAUAUUUAAGUACAGUUUGGAAGAAAGGGGUUCUUUUUGGCUUUAAUGUGGAUGGAGGCAAAGGUUUUAUUUUAAAUAAUCCAAGUGUUACCGAAGUAAAAAUCGUAACAGAAAUGUAUACUUACUAUGUGAAAAUAUUUAUAAAAAUAUACAAAUAAAUUUAAGUUUUAGGGAUAUAUGCAAUAUGGAAUAGAAAUGUAUUUAUAAAAAGAAAUGUAUAAAUGGACAGUG